CCCCAGCUGCCCCGUCCUGCUGGUGGUCGGUGACUCCGCCCCCCACGAGGACGCCGUGGUGGAGUGCAACGCCAAGCUGGACCCGACGCAGACGUCGUUCCUGAAGAUGGCCGACGGGGGCGGGCAGCCGCAGAUCGCCCAGCCCGGCCGGCUGACCGAGGCCAUCAAGUACUUCCUGCAGGGCAUGGGCUACAGUGAGUGACC